GUCUAUAUGCUAUAUAUAGUUGAGACAGCACAGUUUAUGUGGUGGCUAAUCCCAAUAGAAAUGGGGUGAGGCCUAUGUUGAUUUGUAACUUGCUCCCUAGAAAGGAUAAGCUUGUCUGUUUUUGAAGCGCUAAUGUUUGUAAUAGCUUUUGCAACGUUAGGUCUGACAACCAGCAA
rfam:Enterococcus hirae ATCC 9790, complete genome.